GUGAAUCAUCGAAUCUUUGAACGCAAAUUGCACUCUCUGUUGGGAGUAUGCCCGUUUGAGUGUCAGUAAUAAUAAAAUCGGGGUGUUGCGCUUUUGUGACACAACGGAGUUUGGGCUACCUUUGACUUUCGGGUUUAAGAGGCUUAAAAUUGAACUUUUGUGCGCACUUUUAGACGUACAUAAAUCU
rnacentral:misc_RNA from 1 species